rnacentral:rRNA from 1 species
CCUCGAGCGCCUCUAAGCGUGUAAGUCUUCACCCUCGAGCACAUGUCCGGAUCCCGGGAAGAGGACCGCCAUAUUUCCGUCCCCAGCCCGUAUAUCCAGAGGGCUAGGUUUUUGGAUACUCGAGUUAAACCCAUGUCGCCGAUUUUAGUCAGGGGUCAAUCCUGAGCUCACUUCGGAACUGCCUUGAUCUAGGGUUACUGAGUAUGCAGAGUAAGUGCACUGCGAGUGUAGAGCUGAACUUCGUAGAUUUUCGCAUGACACCAGUGCCGACAGGCGGCUUAUUGUUCCAUUGCUGACGCUGAUGUGCGAAGCGUGGGGAGCUAAUCAGCAUGAGAUACCCUGGUAGUCCACGCCGUAAACGAUAAUAUUUAGCCGUCAAGGCAGUUGACUGUCGAGUGCCCAGCUAACGCCAUUAACCUUUCCCCUGGGGAGACGGUCACUACGAUAAUCAUCAAGGGAAUUGCCGGGGGGCGCACACAAACGCGGAAACAUGUGCUUUAAUUGAAUGCAGCGCAAGAACCUAACUCAUCUCUUGACGGGGGUCGCACAAGGAGUGGAGCAUGUGGAUUAAUUCGAAGCACCCAGCAGAACCUUACCAGCUCUUGACAUUCGGGGUUUGGGCAGUGGAGACAUUGUCCUUCAGUUAGGCUGGCCCCAGAACAGGUGCUGCAUGGCUGUCGUCAGCUCGUGUCGUGAGAUGUUGGGUUAAGUCCCGCAACGAGCGCAACCCUCGCCCUUAGUUGCCAGCAUUUAGUUGGGCACUCUAAGGGGACUGCCGGUGAUAAGCCGAGAGGAAGGUGGGGAUGACGUCAAGUCCUCAUGGCCCUUACGGGCUGGGCUACACACGUGCUACAAUGGUGGUGACAGUGGGCAGCGAGACAGCGAUGUCGAGCUAAUCUCCAAAAGCCAUCUCAGUUCGGAUUGCACUCUGCAACUCGAGUGCAUGAAGUUGGAAUCGCUAGUAAUCGCAGAUCAGCAUGCUGCGGUGAAUACGUUCCCGGGCCUUGUACACACCGCCCGUCACACCAUGGGAGUUGGUUUUACCCGAAGGCGCUGCGCUAACCGCAAGGGGGCAGGCGACCACGUAGGUACAGCGGUCGGCU